rnacentral:sRNA from 1 species
GCUAAACCGCGUGAGGGAUAGCAAUGAAAAGCCCGCAGACAAGUGUAGCGAGAGCGGAACUUGUCGAGGACUUGUAAUGAAUAGCCCGACACCCA